GUGGGAGGGGGCUUGCCCCCGAUAGCGGUGGUUCAGUUACAGGUGAUUGACACACUGCAAUCGGGGGCAAGCCCCCUCCCAC
rnacentral:misc_RNA from 1 species